GCUGCUGUUUCAGGAGAACCCGAGCGAGGAAGAUGCGGCCAUCGUGGACAAAGUGCUGUCCAUGAGGGUGGUCAAGAAGGAGUUGCCGUCGGGUCAGCUGGUCGACUGCGAGGAGUUCUUCGUCAAGUACAAGAACUACUCGUACCUGCACUGCGAGUGGGCCACGGUGGCCCAGCUGGAGCGGGACAAGCGGAUCCACCAGAAACUCAAACGGUUCAAGACCAAGAUGAGCCAGAUGAGGCACUUCUUCC